UACGAAGGGAACUAGCGUUGUUCGGAAUUACUGGGCGUAAAGCGUGUGUAGGCGGCCUUGCAAGUCGGAUGUGAAAGCCCCGGGCUCAACCCGGGAAGUGCACCCGAUACUGCUGGGCUCGAGUACCGGAGAGGUUGGUGGAAUUCUCGGUGUAGAGGUGAAAUUCGUAGAUAUCGAGAGGAACACCGGUGGCGAAGGCGGCCAACUGGACGAGUACUGACGCUGAGACACGAAAGCGUGGGGAGCAAACAGG
rnacentral:rRNA from 1 species